AGAGUUUGAUCCUGGCUCAGAUUGAACGCUGGCGGCAUGCCUUACACAUGCAAGUCGAGCGGCAGCGCGGGGGCAACCCUGGCGGCGAGCGGCGGACGGGUGAGUAAUACAUCGGAACGUGUCCUUUCGUGGGGGAUAACCAGUCGAAAGACUGGCUAAUACCGCAUGAGAUCUCACGAUGAAAGCGGGGGACCGCAAGGCCUCGCGCGAUUGGAGCGGCCGAUGUCGGAUUAGCUAGUUGGCGGGGUAAAAGCCCACCAAGGCGACGAUCCGUAGCUGGUUUGAGAGAACGACCAGCCACACUGGGACUGAGACACGGCCCAGACUCCUACGGGAGGCAGCAGUGGGGAAUUUUGGACAAUGGGCGCAAGCCUGAUCCAGCCAUGCCGCGUGUGUGAAGAAGGCCUUCGGGUUGUAAAGCACUUUCGGCCGGAACGAAAUCGCCUUUGUUAAUAGCGAAGGUGGAUGACGGUACCGGAAGAAGAAGCACCGGCUAACUACGUGCCAGCAGCCGCGGUAAUACGUAGGGUGCGAGCGUUAAUCGGAAUUACUGGGCGUAAAGGGUGCGCAGGCGGCCCCGCAAGUCAGGCGUGAAAUCCCCGGGCUUAACCUGGGAAUGGCGCUUGAAACUACGGGGCUGGAGUAUGGCAGGGGGAGGUGGAAUUCCACGUGUAGCGGUGAAAUGCGUAAAGAUGUGGAGGAACACCGAUGGCGAAGGCAGCCUCCUGGGCCAAUACUGACGCUCAUGCACGAAAGCGUGGGGAGCAAACAGGAUUAAAUACCCUGGUAGUCCACGCCCUAAACGAUGAUGACUAGUUGUUGGAGGAGUUAA
rnacentral:rRNA from 1 species